AUUGAACGCUGGCGGCAUGCCUAACACAUGCAAGUCGGGCGAGCGGAGGACGGGUGAGUAAUGUAUGGGGAUCUGCCUGAUGGAGGGGGAUAACUACUGGAAACGUUAGCUAAUACCGCAUACCAUCAGAUGGACCCAUAUGGGAGUAGCUAGUCGGUGAGGUAAAGGCUCACCUAGGCGACGAUCCCUAGCUGGUCUGAGAGGAGGAUCAGCAACACUGGGACGGAGACACGGCCCAGACUCCUACGGGAGGCAGCAGUGGGGAAUAUUGGACAAUGGGCGCAAGCCUGAUGCAGCAAUGCCGCGUGUAUGAAGAAGGUCUUCGGGUGGUAAAGUACUUUCAGUCGGGAGGCGUUACCGACAGAAGAAGCACCGGCUAACUCCGUGCCAGCAGCCGCGGUAAUAC
rnacentral:rRNA from 1 species